CAGCCGCCGCGGUAAUACCGGCGGCCCGAGUGGCGGUCACUAUUAUUUGGCUUAAAGCGUCCGUAGCCGGGUUGGGAAGUCCUCCGGGAAAUCUGGCCGCUUAACGGUCAGAAUGCCGGAGGAUACUCCCAGCCUAGGGAGCGGGGGAGGCCGAGGGUAUUCCCGGAGUAGGGGGGAAAUCCUAUAAUCCCGGGAGGACCACCUGUGGCGAAGGCGCUCGGCUGGAACGCGUCCGACGGUGAGGGACGAAGGCCAGGGGAGCAAACCGGAUUAGAUACCCGGGUAGUCCUGGCUGUAAACGAUGCGGACUUUGUGUCGGACAAGCUAUGAGCUUGUCCGGUGCCGGAGGGAAACCGUUAAGUCCGCCGCCUGGGGAGUACGGCCGCAAGGCUGAAACUUAAAGGAAUUGGCGGG
rnacentral:rRNA from 1 species